rnacentral:rRNA from 1 species
GACGAACGCUGGCGGCGUGCUUAACACAUGCAAGUCGAACGAUGAAACCUAGCUUGCUAGGUCGAUUAGUGGCGAACGGGUGAGUAACACGUGACUAACCUGCCCCUUUCUCUGGGAUAACGCUUCGAAAGGAGUGCUAAUACCGGAUACUCACAUCGAGGCACAUGCCUUGAUGUGGAAAGUUUUUCGGAAAGGGAUGGAGUCGCGGCCUAUCUGCUUGUUGGGGAGGUAACGGCUCACCAAGGGGACGACGGGUAGCCGGACUGAGAGGGCGACCGCGCACACUGGGACUGAGACACGGCCCAGACUCCUACGGGAGGCAGCAGUGGGGAAUAUUGCACAAUGGGCGCAAGCCUGAUGCAGCGACGCUGCGUGAGGGAUGAAGGUCUUCGGAUUGUAAACCUCUUUCAGUAGGGACGAAGCGAAAGUGACGGUACCUAAAGAAGAAGCACCGGCUAACUACGUGCCAGCCGCCGCCGUAA